rnacentral:rRNA from 1 species
UACGAACUGUGCAAACGUUAUUCGGAAUCACUGGGCUUAAAGGGUGCGUAGGCGGCUCGAUAAGUAGGGUGUGAAAUCUCCCGGCCCAACCGGGGAACUGCGCUCUAAACUGUCGGGCUUGAGUGAGAUAGGGGUGUGCGGAACUUCCAGUGGAGCGGUGAAAUGUGUUGAUAUUGGAAGGAACACCGGUGGCGAAAGCGGCACACUGGGUCUCAACUGACGCUCAUGCACGAAAGCCAGGGUAGCGAACGGG